CUGAAUUUGAACUUGAACUUGGAGGUGGUAGUGAGAUGAGUGUUUACUGGUAACUUCCGGUUCUUAAGAAAGAGGUCAGAAAAAACUUUCGAGGAAGCCUGGAGACCAAUCUGGGGCUUCCUUCUGCUCUAAGAGCAGCACAGAGAAGUGAUUACAAUAUAAAUGGAGUUCCAACGAACACACGUAUGUUAUGCUGUCCUUGGUUUAACCGUGGAGAUGUAAGGCAAAAGCUGCUAUGUACAAAAUUAGCCUAAGGAAAACAUCUGAUGCCGAGGGCCAUAGGAUUUUGCCCAAGCCCUUUGUAACCACUGAUGCAGCUGGCUCACUUUUCUAGGCAUUCUGAGGAUACAGAGUGCCACAGAAGUUUGCUUCUAUCUGCUCUGGUUCUUUACGAUUUUGUCUUAAAGUUGAACUCUCAAGAUGGCAUCACUUCCUUUAUGUUGUAAGUUCCUGUUGGGAAUGGAAAAAAGUGUCUCAUUGUGUCCCCUGUGUCUAGACAACAAUAAUCUGGACCAUCAGCUCCAGGAGCUAUGAAGUCUUAUGUCAUAGCUGCAUGCCUUCGUCUUUUCUGAGGUGCACUGCGAAUCAUCUUCAACCGUUAAUGAUCUCAGCACCCAGGCAUGUGAAUUGUGAUUCCUGAAAAAUAAAAUCAGACAGAAUCAUAA
rnacentral:lncRNA from 1 species